UCACCUAUUGGAUUCACAUUUCCCCAAUAUGUCUCUUUUUGUGGAUGUUCAAGCGGGUCACCAUAAACCUCACUCGUGCUCGUGAGCAAAAACCUCGCCCCAAUACGCUUGGCAAGACCCAACAUGUUUAAGGUGCCCAUCACAUUUGUCUUGUAAUAACAGUCAAGGUUCUCAAGCAAUUCCAAUAUUCAAUAAGGUAUAAAUUUAAAUUUAUUUUAAAGUAAUAGCUAUAAAAAAUCUGCUAUUCAUAACAAAUGCAAUUUUCAAGAGAGGAUAUAAUAGUCUUGACAGGAUUGUACUUGUAAUGAACCGGCGAAGCAGGACAAGCUAAGUGAUAGAUCUGAUCCACCUCCAGUAAAAUGGGUUCAACAACAUCAUGCCUAAUAAGCUCAAACCUUGGAUUCCCAAAAUGAUGCAUCACGUUAUCUUUCCUUCCGGUAAAGAAAUUAUCAAUCACAAUCACAUCAUCACCUCUACCAAUUAACUUAUCAACCAAAUGACUACCCAC
rnacentral:lncRNA from 1 species